rfam:Triticum urartu cultivar G1812 contig677393, whole genome shotgun sequence.
GUAACACUCCCUCCGUUUGGAAUUACUUGUCGCAGAAAUGGAUGUAUCUAGACGUAUUUUAGUUCUAGAUACAUCCAUUUCCGAGACAAGUAAUUACAAACGGAGGGAGUAUUUU